rnacentral:rRNA from 1 species
CUGGGCUUAAAUGGAGAAUGACCGUUCGGGAAACCGGACUUCUCUUCGGAGCAAUCUUCAAGGUGCUGCAUGGUUGUCGUCAGCUCGUGCCGUGAGGUGUCGGGUUAAGUCCCAUAACGAGCGCAACCCCUAUUCUUAGUUGCCAGCACGUAAUGGUGGGGACUCUAGGAAAACUGCCUACGCAAGUAGUGAGGAAGGUGGGGAUGACGUCAAAUCAGCACGGCCCUUAUGUCCAGGGCUACACACGUGCUACAAUGGUCGGUACAGAGGGCAGCUACAUGGUGACAUGAUGCUAAUCUCGAAAGCCGGUCUCAGUUCGGAUUGAAGUCUGCAACUCGACUUCAUGAAGCUGGAAUCGCUAGUAAUCGCGCAUCAGCCACGGCGCGGUGAAUACGUUCCC